GCAGGCUCAGCGGCCAUGGCUCACGGGCCCAGCCGCUCCGCGGCAUGUGGGAUCUUCCCGGAUCGGGACACGAACCCGCGUCCCCUGCAUCGGCAGGCGGACUCCCAACCACUGCGCCACCAGGGAAGCCCUGGCAGGCAGAUUCUUAACCACUGCGCCACCAGGGAAGUCCCGAUACACUGGACAAUCGCCUUGACUUUGCACCCCACAUCUGUGAGAUGGCCAAUGCAAACCUACAGGGAGUAAUUUCACUCUGGAUUAUGGAUGCAUCACUAGAACAGCAUUUUGGAAGUGUCUUGGAAGCCUGGAAGCAGUGUCAGAAGAAUCCUCACAGACGUCUGAGAAAUCUUCGUUCUAUGGACCCUCCUUUGCAAGCAGCUUUCUAGAGUAUCUGCCUGCGGGGGAAAAGGAUAUUGGGUGCCCUACGUCCCUCUCGGAAGAUAGGCCCUGCGGAACCUCUCGGAGGAAGCACCUUCUGUCUCCCCUGUGCUGGGUGAAAAUUCUAACAAUAGGACCGCCACCCCUUCCCACCAAGUGUGGCUGAAU